rnacentral:rRNA from 1 species
UACGUAGGGACCAAGCGUUGUUCGGAUUUACUGGGCGUAAAGGGCGCGUAGGCGGCGUGGUAAGUCACUUGUGAAAUCUCUGAGCUUAACUCAGAACGGCCAAGUGAUACUGCUGUGCUAGAGUGCAGAAGGGGCAAUCGGAAUUCUCGGUGUAGAGGUGAAAUUCGUAGAUAUCGAGAGGAACACCGGUGGCGAAGGCGGCCAACUGGACGAAUACUGACGCUGAGACACGAAAGCGUGGGGAGCAAACAGG